rnacentral:rRNA from 1 species
UGGGCAACCUGCCCUAUAGAGGGGAAUAGCCUUCCGAAAGGAAGAUUAAUACCCCAUAAGAUUGUAGCUUCACAUGGAGCAGCAAUUAAAGGAGCAAUCCGCUAUAGGAUGGGCCCGCGGCGCAUUAGCUAGUUGGUGAGGUAACGGCUCACCAAGGCGACGAUGCGUAGCCGACCUGAGAGGGUGAUCGGCCACAUUGGGACUGAGACACGGCCCAGACCUCUACGGGAG